rnacentral:rRNA from 1 species
UACGGGGGGAGCAAGCGUUGUUCGGAAUUACUGGGCGUAAAGGGCGUGUAGGCGGUCAAGUAAGUGGAAUGUGAAACGCCUCGGCUUACCCGAGGACCUGCAUCCCAAACUGCUUGGCUUGAGUAUGGGAGAGGAUGAGGGAAUUCCUGGUGUAGCGGUGAAAUGCGUAGAUAUCAGGAGGAACACCGGUGGCGAAAGCGCUCAUCUGGCCCAAUACUGACGCUGAGGCGCGAAAGCUAGGGGAGCAAACGGG